rnacentral:rRNA from 1 species
UGGGGAAUCUUGGACAAUGGGGGCAACCCUGAUCCAGCCAUGCCGCGUGAGUGAUGAAGGCCUUAGGGUCGUAAAGCUCUUUCGCCUGUGAAGAUAAUGACGGUAGCAGGUAAAGAAACCCCGGCUAACUCCGUGCCAGCAGCCGCGGUAAUACGGAGGGGGUUAGCGUUGUUCGGAAUUACUGGGCGUAAAGCGCACGUAGGCGGACCAGAAAGUUGGGGGUGAAAUCCCGGGGGCUCAACCCCGGAACUGCCUCCAAAACUAUUGGUCUAGAGUUCGAGAGAGGUGAGUGGAAUUCCAAGUGUAGAGGUGAAAUUCGUAGAUAUUUGGAGGAACACCAGUGGCGAAGGCGGCUCACUGGCUCGAUACUGACGCUGAGGUGCGAAAGUGUGGGGAGCAAACAGGAUUAGAUACCCUGGUAGUCCACACCGUAAACGAUGAAUGCCAGUCGUCGGGUAGCAUGCUAUUCGGUGACACACCUAACGGAUUAAGCAUUCC